rnacentral:rRNA from 1 species
UCUUUUUCCACCGGAGCUUGCUCCACCGGAAAAAGANGAGUGGCGAACGGGUGAGUAACACGUGGGUAACCUGCCCAUCAGAAGGGGAUAACACUUGGAAACAGGUGCUAAUACCGUAUAACAAUCNAAACCGCAUGGUUUUGAUUUGAAAGGCGCUUUCGGGUGUCGCUGAUGGAUGGACCCGCGGUGCAUUAGCUAGUUGGUGAGGUAACGGCUCACCAAGGCCACGAUGCAUAGCCGACCUGAGAGGGUGAUCGGCCACAUUGGGACUGAGACACGGCCCAAACUCCUACGGGAGGCAGCAGUAGGGAAUCUUCGGCAAUGGACGAAAGUCUGACCGAGCAACGCCGCGUGAGUGAAGAAGGUUUUCGGAUCGUAAAACUCUGUUGUUAGAGAAGAACAAGGAUGAGAGUAACUGUUCAUCCCUUGACGGUAUCUAACCAGAAAGCCACGGCUAACUACGUGCCAGCAGCCGCGGUAAUACGUAGGUGGCAAGCGUUGUCCGGAUUUAUUGGGCGUAAAGCGAGCGCAGGCGGUUUCUUAAGUCUGAUGUGAAAGCCCCCGGCUCAACCGGGGAGGGUCAUUGGAAACUGGGAGACUUGAGUGCAGAAGAGGAGAGUGGAAUUCCAUGUGUAGCGGUGAAAUGCGUAGAUAUAUGGAGGAACACCAGUGGCGAAGGCGGCUCUCUGGUCUGUAACUGACGCUGAGGCUCGAAAGCGUGGGGAGCAAACAGGAUUAGAUACCCUGGUAGUCCACGCCGUAAAGAUGAGUGCUAAGUGUUGGAGGGUUUCCGCCCUUCAGUGCUGCAGCUAACGCAUUAAGCACUCCGCCUGGGG